rnacentral:rRNA from 1 species
UCAGUGUGUGUGUUAGUGGAAGCGUCUGGAAAGGCGCGCGAUACAGGGUGACAGCCCCGUACACAAAAAUGCACAUGCUGUGAGCUCGAUGAGUAGGGCGGGACACGUGGUAUCCUGUCUGAAUAUGGGGGGACCAUCCUCCAAGGCUAAAUACUCCUGACUGACCGAUAGUGAACCAGUACCGUGAGGGAAAGGCGAAAAGAACCCCGGCGAGGGGAGUGAAAAAGAACCUGAAACCGUGUACGUACAAGCAGUGGGAGCACGCUUAGGCGUGUGACUGCGUACCUUUUGUAUAAUGGGUCAGCGACUUAUAUUCUGUAGCAAGGUUAACCGAAUAGGGGAGCCGAAGGGAAACCGAGUCUUAACUGGGCGUUAAGUUGCAGGGUAUAGACCCGAAACCCGGUGAUCUAGCCAUGGGCAGGUUGAAGGUUGGGUAACACUAACUGGAGGACCGAACCGACUAAUGUUGAAAAAUUAGCGGAUGACUUGUGGCUGGGGGUGAAAGGCCAAUCAAACCGGGAGAUAGCUGGUUCUCCCCGAAAGCUAUUUAGGUAGCGCCUCGUGAAUUCAUCUCCGGGGGUAG